UGUCCGAUAGUGUAACGGCAUCACGCCAGUCUUCAGGACUGGAGAAUUGGGUUCGACUCCCAAACGGACAA
rnacentral:tRNA from 1 species